rnacentral:rRNA from 1 species
GACGAACGCUGGCGGCGUGCCUAAUACAUGCAAGUAGAACGCGGUUGCGAACGGGUGAGUAAUGCGUAGGUAACUGCCUCAUAGCGGGGGAUAACUAUUGGAAACGUUAUCUAAUACCGCAUACUGUGAGAUGGACCUGCGUUGUAUUAGCUAGUUGGGGAGGUAAAGGGCCACCAAGGCGGAGGUACAUAGCCGGCCUGGGCGGGUGGACGGCCAACAUGGGAAUGGGGAACGGGCCAGACUCCUUAGGGAGGGAAGAGGAGGGGAUCAUUGGAAAUGGGGGGAAGUCGGACCGAAGCAAGGCGCGGGAUGUGAGAAAGGUUUCGGGUCGGAAAGCUCUGUUGAUAGAGAAGCGGUAACUAAAGAGAAAGGGACGGCUAACUACGUGCCAGCAGCCGCGGUAAUAC